rnacentral:tRNA from 1 species
GUUUUUAUAGUUUAAUCAAAACAUUGGUCUUGUAAAUCAAAAAAAAAUAAUUUAUUUUAAAAACU